rnacentral:rRNA from 1 species
CGAACGCUGGCGGCAGGCCUAACACAUGCAAGUCGAGCGCACCUUCGGGUGAGCGGCGGACGGGUUAGUAACGCGUGGGAAUAUGCCCUUCUCUACGGAAUAGCCUCGGGAAACUGAGAGUAAUACCGUAUACGCCCUUCGGGGGAAAGAUUUAUCGGAGAAGGAUUAGCCCGCGUUGGAUUAGGUAGUUGGUGGGGUAAUGGCCCACCAAGCCGACGAUCCAUAGCUGGUUUGAGAGGAUGAUCAGCAACACUGGGACUGAGACACGGCCCAGACUCCUACGGGAGGCAGCAGUGGGGAAUCUUAGACAAUGGGGGAAACCCUGAUCUAGCCAUGCCGCGUGAGUGACGAAGGCCCUAGGGUCGUAAAGCUCUUUCGCCAGGGAAGAUAAUGACGGUACCUGGUAAAGAAACCCCGGCUAACUCC